CACAGGUCCCUGUGCCCUUUGCUGUGCAGUUCACAGCCUCUUGUCUCAGGCUCCCUCCCAGAGGUGAACCUGCAGCUCCAUCUGCAGCUGCACCCUGAGCUCCCUGCACCGAGUGCGUUCCUCAGCACCAAAUGUGUUACUCAACACCAAAUGUGUUCCUCGACAACAAAUGUGUUCCUUGACACCUGUUGCCAUGAGCAGGGGCACCUUUGAUGAGACCAGGUUACUCAACCUGGCUGCAGGGAUGAGGCAUCCACAGCUUUUCUGAGCAACCCAUUCUACUGCAUCACCAAACUCACAGCUGAAGAUUCCCAGCUCCCUCAUCCUGUCUUCACAGGGAACGUGCUCCAACCCCCUCAGCAUCUUUGUGACCCUCCUCUGGAUUUGCUUCAACAGAAUUACUGAUGAGAAGAGUAUCUGUUCCACUAGAGGGAGGAGCAGGCUCAGGAACUGAAUUUCCAACUAAUAUUCCAGUGCCACCUACAAUAACAGAUUUACUCCUAUGUGAAGGAUGGUCUGUUGUCAGAAAGUGUUGAAAAGGCACAACUGGAAUAGCAAGUUCUG